GUUGCAUGAGUUCUAAAAGGGUAAUCUAUGUCCAACUCAAAGCUAUGGUGGUCAACCUCCAUAGCCAGAAAGGAAGUUUGAGAACAUAGACAAGGUGGGAAGUUUGGAAGAUGUUCUUAAAAAAUGGAGAUGAGUGAGAAGAACUCCGGCUGGGAAGAUCUGAUUUUUAUUCCACCUAGUAAAAGCCAGUCUCAACAUAUUCAAGAAGUGGCGAACGCUUGAUGAAUUUGAUGCGAAACUUGAUGAAUUUGAAUUUGAA